UUGUUCCUACGGGGCGCAGCAGUGGGGAAUAUUGCACAAUGGGGGGAACCCUGAUGCAGCGACGCCGCGUGAGUGAAGAAGUAUUUCGGUAUGUAAAGCUCUAUCAGCAGGGAUGAAAAUGACGGUACCUGACUAAGAAGCCCCGGCUAACUACGUGCCAGCAGCCGCGGUAAUACGUAGGGGGCAAGCGUUAUCCGGAUUUACUGGGUGUAAAGGGGGCGCAGACGGCGAUGCAAGCCAGGAGUGAAAGCCCGGGGCCCAACCCCGGGACUGCUCUUG
rnacentral:rRNA from 1 species